GGUGAUGCGUUCACAUUGAUGGCUUAUUCCACUCAAACUAAACAGCGGGGGCAUUUAUCAAGUGUUUACAUUAUUACAAGGAUGAAAUGUAGACUUUGUCUAACUAUAAAGAAUCCAAUGAACGCAGCUGAUGACGAAGAUGCUGCUUUUUGGCAACACCUUCUGUCCAAAGAAUACCCCUCGCAAGUCUGUUUCUGUCUUCAAUCUUCACACGUUGGAUUGGUCUACGAGGGAAAUAGAGUUGGGUCUUGAGUAUGCAGCCCCUGUUAUGAACAUUGGGGGGCCAUAGCUUGACAUUUGAAGACGGACAAUGGAUUGCAGUCUGAAGGGAAUGUAUCUGGGAAGGAGGUGCAGAGACUGAAAAAUAGGAACCUAGAGCUUGAAAAGGAGAACAACCUACUCUGAAGAUUGACUGAUGGUUAUUGUUACACCAGAUGCUGAAUGUGACUGCAAGCUGUACUGCACAGACAAACGUCAUUGGAGGUGUUUCAUUCUAUGGCUCAAUAGCUUUCACAAACUGGCCAAGUCUGUGUAAACAAAUUCAGUAAAGACAAUCAUAAUCCAAAGGCUCAGUCAGUCAUACAUUGAGUAAGCGUUGCAGGUCAGGCUACAUCGGUGUAUGGGAAAACAUAUAAACCUUUUGACCGAGUAUGGUAAUGAUUGACCAAGAGUGAUGUUUGAAUUAUUAGUCAUUGUACCAGUACAGUGUGAGCCACAGAACCUUUCUUCCAAAAUAUAUCAUUGAUCGGUUUGUGAGGGUUUGAGAAAUGGGUCUUCUUGGCCCACUUACAUACCCACUCCUUCCUCCUAGAGAGGACCAUCCUCUUGAGGGACAAUGGGAGUCAGUACAACCAAGAGGAUGAGGGCUGGACCCCUGAUGGUGGCUGGGGCUGGAUGGAAGCUGGGGCUGGAUGGUGGCUGGGGCUACUCAUCUGUUUCGUCGUCACUGGGUUCUCCUACGCUUUCCCCAAAGCUGUCAGUGUCUCCUUCAAAAAGCUGAUGAGGGACUUUGAAGUGUGCCACAGCGACACGGCCUGAAUCUCCUCCAUCAUGCUCUAUGGAUCAGGUCAGAGGUCAAUCAUAGAGAUGAUACAGGGGCCUCUGAGAGCUUGAAUUGUAUACGAAACAAAGCUGUCAGAUGUAAAAAAUGAAAAAAUACGUCGUUCAAUGGGAAAAACAAAACAGAAAAGUGUCUGGGAAAUGUAUUUGUUGUCUGGAGAUGCAAGUCUCUUGUAGUUCUGCAUAAUUUAAUUAACAAAUACACAUGGCCUGUUUGUCUGUGAACGCCUUCUGCCCAGGCCCAGUGUCCAGUAUCAUGGUCAACAGGUUUGACAGCAGGUCGGUGAUGCAGGUCGGAGGUUUGCUGGCAUCAGCAGGCAUGGUGGGACCUUCCUUCACCACCGCCAUUAAACAUCUUUACCUUACAGGUUCUGCUGGACCACUAUGGCUAGAGGGAAGGCUUUCUCAUCAUGGUGGACUGCUGCUCACCUGCGGGUCUUUCAUGAGACCUCUGGAGAGGAGAUGGAGAAAAGAGGAGGAAACGGGAGAAGGGAACGAACCAGCGCUGAAAGAGAUGUUUCCUUCAAAAGUAGGAAAGGAGAAGAAUGGAAUAGAAAAUCAGCUUUUGGACUUAAGGGGGGUGCCUGAACAGGUGGUUGUUGAUCUUCACUGAGUGGACAAAACAUUUGGAACACCUUCCUAAUAUUGAGUUGCACCCAUUUUUCAGUCGGAAUAGCCUCAAUUCAUCGGGGCAUGGACUCGACAAGGUGUCGAAAGCGUUCCACAGGGAUGCUGGCCUAUGUUGACUCCAAUGCUUCUCACAGUUGUGUCAAGUUGGCUGGAUGUCGUUUGGGUGGUCGACCAUUCUUGAUACACACGGGAAACUGUUGACCGUGAAAACCACAGCAGCGUUGCAGUUCUUGACGCACUCAAAACGGUGUGCCUGGCACCUACUACCAUAACUCAUUCAAAGGCACUUAAAUCUGUUGUUUUGCCCAUUCACCCUCUGAAUGGCACACAUACACAAUCCAUGUCUCAAUUGUCUCAAGGCUUGAAAAUAAUUAUUUAACCUGACUCCUCCCCUUCAUCUACACUGAUUGAAGUGGAUUUAACAAGUGACAUCAAUAAGGGAUCAUAGCUUUCACCUUGAUUCACCUGGUCAGUCAAUGUUAUGGUGAUUAUAGGGGGACUUUACAAUGAUGGUGAAAACUUGGAGAAAAGUUUGGGUUAUGUGAGUUAAAAUCUACCGGAAAGUCACAGAGGGUGCACGGAGGGACAUGUCCAAAUGCUGAAUUUAGGCACUUUAGCAAGUCUUUAUUAAUAUAAAAAAAUCGGAUUAAUUGAAUUCUCAAUGUGGUCUAUAUUAAAGGGCACUUCAUUAAAUAUAACAGGCUUUUAAAAAUUGUAUAUUGGUGCACAAUUUCUACUUAAAAUAUCAAAGGGACGCAAAAGGCACUCAUUUCGUGGAACAAGCCAGUAAUUCGUGGAACAACCCAGUAAUUGUUAUGGCUCUAAAAUAACUAAAUACGUAUUCUGCUCUGAAUGGUUUUUCAUUAAGCAUUAAUAUUCUACAUACAUUCUUUCAAACCAUUAUAUAUUUUAAUAUUCAGUAUUAAUCAGUUAAUAGUGGAGGAGGCCAAUUAAACAUGUCAACAUUCUGUAUUUAGGCUUUCGUGUUUGUCCAUGUACCUAAUCUUGGUUAACCUCAAUUUUAUUUGCGUAGUCUGUCCAAGAGAGAUUAUUCUACCUGGCUUACAACUGGCUAGUUUCAAGUGUUAAUGUCACAUGCACAAGUACAGUGCUGCUGCCUUUCUUGCAGCUCGAAGCCCAACAAUGCAGUAAUAAAUAUCAAUGCAGCACUAAACAUAACAAGGUAGGAAAAAACACACAAUAAAUAGAAAUAAGAAGAUGAGGAAUUAAGAAGCUAUAUACAGGGUCAGUAGCGAAAUACAGGGUCAGUUCCAGGGUCAGUAGCGAAAUACAGGGUCAGUUCCAAGGUCAUUAGCGAAAUACAGGGUCAGUUCCAAGGUCAGUAGCUAUAUACAGGGUCAGUUCCAGGUUCAGUUCCAAUACCAUAUUUACAAUAUGCAGGGUUACUGGAGUGAUAGAGGUACAGUGCCUUUAGAAAGUUUUCAUACCCCUUGAUUUAUUCAACAUCUUGUUGUGUUACAGCCUGAAUUCACAAUACCCCAUAAUGACAAAGUGAAAACAUUUUUUUGAAAUGCUUGCCAAUUUAUUGAAAAUGAAAUACAGAAAUAUCUAAUUUACAUAAGUAUUCACUCCCCCGAAUCAAUACAUGUUAGAAUCACCUUGGCAGCCAUUACAGCUUUGAGUAUUUCUGGGUAAAUCGCUAAGAGUUUUGCACAUCUGGAUUGUACAAUUUGCACAUUAUUCUUAAAAAAAAAAAUCUUCUAGUUCUGUGAAGUUGGUUGUUGAUCAUUGUUAGACAGUCAUUUUCAAGUCUUGCCAUAGAUUUCAAAGCCGAUUUAAGUCAAAACUGUAACUCGGACACUCAGGAACAUUCAAUGAUAUCUUGGUAAACAACUGCAGUGUAUAAUUUGGCCUUGUGUUUUAGGUUAUUUUCCUGCUGAAAGGUGAAUUUGUCUCCAGUGGCAGUUGGAAAGCAGACAGAACCAGGUUUCCCUCUUAAAUUGUGCCUGUGCUUAUCUCUAGUCCGUUUUUUUUAUCAAAAACACUCCCUAGUUCUUGCCAAUCUGUGCUCGGGGGGUCGCGAACUUCCUACAGGACUGGUGCGCAGAAGAAAUGCUAUGCCACGCAUAGACGCAAGAGAUUGAACAUUAGUUUGCACUAUAUAGAUAAACGUUUAUUCUGUGAUCGAAUCAAUAUUAUAUCAGCCCCUUUUCAAUGGAACAAACCAAAACACAUAACUUUGCAAGAUUGAGUCAGAUUUUGUUGUAGGAAUAGCCAGAGCGCAAAAGAGUAGAAUUCUGUUGGCGGGGGUAGUUUAAGAGCGGUGAGCCACAUUUGUUGAUAUUCUUUGCUAGUUAGCGAGUUAUUAGCCCAGUUAUACAUAAGUAUAGGUCAGUAAAGGGGAGUUACUAAUCGGACCAAGACACAGCGUAGUUUGUGCUCAACAUAUUUAAUAAUGACGAUAAACGUGAACACUUAACAAUUACAAAAUAACAAAAUGUGGCAAACCGAUACAGUCCUAGCUGGUGCAGCGAAAACACAAAGACAGGAAACAACCACCCACAAUCCCCAACACAAAACAAGCCACCUAAAUAUGAUUCCCAAUCAGAGACAACACAAAACACCUGCCUCUGAUUGGGAACCAUAUUAGGCCAAAUAUAGAAACAGACAAACUAGACAGACAACAUAGAAUGCCCACCCAGCUCACGUCCUGACCAACACUAAAACAAGCAAAACACAGAAGAACUAUGGUCAGAACGUGACAGCAUCAAAAGUCGUGCUAUAAAUUCUCAGACAACCCAAAGAUUCCUUGAUGCCCUUCCAGACUCCCUCUGCCUACCUAAGGACGUCAGAGGACAAAAAUCAGUUAACCACAUAACUGAGGAACUCAAUUUAACCUUGCGCAAUACCCUAGAUGCAGUUGCACCCCUAAAAACUAAAACCAUUUGUCAUAAGAAACUAGCUCCCUGGUUGUUAUGGGAUUUUUAUGAAUAAAUGACUAAAAUAUCUAAAAUAUGUAUACAUUUGACUUAGAUGUUACUGUAUGAAUGAAACUUAUUAUAAUCAUAAUGCUGAAUGUGAUAUGUUCCUUGUUAGAAAGAAUGGGUUUAUCUUCAGACAGGCUUGAAUGUUGUAUCUACCCAGGGAGGGGAAAGACCUUGGGUUGGUUGCAGAUAGUUUAACAGGUGGCAGACAGUAAUGAGAACGCUAACUAUACUGCCAUUGUAUCCGAGAGGAGGAUGGACAUUAAAACCUAUGACAUUAUCUUUAUUAUAUAACCUGAUGUAAAUUAUACCAUGAUCAGUACUCUCGAGAAUAAACGCUAUUGAUUGAUUGAUUUUGA